UGGCGGCGCGCUUACACGUGCAAGUCGAGCGAGAAAGGGGCAACCUGAGUACAGCGGCGUACGGGUGAGUAACACGUGGGUAAUCUACCUCUGAGUGGGGAAUAACCCUGGGAAACCGGGGCUAAUACCGCAUAAGCCUGAGAAGGGAAAGCAGCGAUGCGCUGAGAGAGGAGCCCGCGGCCGAUUAGCUAGUUGGUGAGGUAACGGCUCACCAAGGCGAUGAUCGGUAGCCGGCCUGAGAGGGCACACGGCCACACUGGCACUGAAACACGGGCCAGACUCCUACGGGAGGCAGCAGUGGGGAAUCUUGCACAAUGGAGGCAACUCUGAUGCAGCGACGCCGCGUGAGCGAUGAAGCCCUUCGGGGUGUAAAGCUCUUUCGGCAGGGACGAUAAUGACGGUACCUGAAGAAGAAGCUGCGGCUAACUACGUGCCAGCAGCCGCGGUAAUACGUAGGCAGCGAGCGUGGUUCGGAAUUACUGGGCGUAAAGAGUGUGUANGCGGUGCUCUAAGUUCGGUGUGAAAUCUCCUGGCUUAACU
rnacentral:rRNA from 1 species